UACAGAGGUCCCAAGCGUUGUUCGGAUUCAUUGGGCGUAAAGGGUGCGUAGGCGGCGCGGUAAGUCGGGUGUGAAAUCUCGGAGCUUAACUUCGAAACUGCAUUCGAUACUGCCGUGCUCGAGGACUGGAGAGGAGACUGGAAUUUACGGUGUAGCGGUGAAAUGCGUAGAUAUCGUAAGGAAGACCAGUGGCGAAGGCGGGUCUCUGGACAGUUCCUGACGCUGAGGCACGAAGGUCAGGGGAGCAAACGGG
rnacentral:rRNA from 1 species